GUUUCAGGAAACAGCCCUCUAGGCCCUGGGAACCUAUAGCUGUGGUGCUUGGGUCUCUGGGCCUCACUCAAGGUUCCCCUUUCUCUGCACAGUCUCUGCCCUGCUUUCUUCCUGGGGCCUCCAACACAGCAGAACAUGCAAGAAGAAAUGCAAGGGAAAAUGCCUUUCCCCAGGGCCCAGUUCCUGGAGGACAUAUAUCAUCUCAAGUCGGCGAGCCGCCUGAGGUGUGAUGGAUUCUUUUUGUAUUCCCUGGGGUCCAGGGCUUCAGCCAGGAGAGGGUUCCCAGGCUAGGGGUCUAAUCGGAGCUGGAGCCACCGGCCUACACCAGAGCCACAGCAACGCGGGAUCCGAGCCGCGUCUGCAACCUACACCACAGCUCAUGGCAACGCCGGAUCGUCAACCCACUGAGCAAGGGCAGGGACUGAACCCGCAACCUCAUGGUUCCCAGUCGGAUUCGUUAACCACUGUGCCACGACGGGAACUCCGAGGCUUCUAUUUUUCCAGGAUGGGGGUACCAUCGUGGGCUCCUGCUCUCAGUUCUUCUCCCUACUGGCCUUGCCCAGUUUACCCGGAUCAGGCCUCGUCCAACAGGGACUUCGGCCUUAGGGGAUGCUCCUUAAGUGUUAUUACGGUCCUUUUGCUCUUCUUUCCCCUAGACUUAGAGUCGCCACGCUUUACAUUCCUUUGGUAGCAGUCAAAUGCAUAGGUCAGGGGUUGAUGUCCACCUUGAUAUAAAACAAAUGUACUUUCAAGAGUUAAUCUUCGCAUGUGCCAGGCUUGUUUGUCUUGAUUCGUUUUUACAAACCUGCAACCAUGGACGUUAAUCAGGGACCAUCUCGAAGCCCGUGUUCCUACACUAAGUACCUGAAUUAUUCGGCUUCAGAAGGGGACUCUGGCCCCAGUUCCAUCCCUCACCUGGACGUGCACACCUGAGGAUGACAAGCACCUCCCUCCCUGCCCCUAUGACCACAGCCCUACCAUCGCCACAUUUUCUUAUCUCCUUUGGAUGUGUGCAGUGUGGCUGCGACGCACUUGGGGCACACAGGAUGGCACCCCCAUGCACCUGGGGGGCUGUGGAGGGGUCUGACAGUCAGACACUGGAGCCAGAAGAGGCCAGCAGCUGUGAGCCAGGGCUGGCUGCGGAGGGAUGGGCCGGGGGCUGUCACCUUAUGCUUUUUGAGAGCCUGGGACUAAGGCGCCUCGGGCAUGAAUGAAGCUCUUCCAGAUGGUUCAUUGAAGAGGAAGCGAGCAGGACAGAGGGCAGCUGCUUGAGAACAAGAAAAGGACAACUGUUUUCUUCUUCUCUAGUUCCUCCCCUGGACUUUGACUUCCGGGCAGUUUGCAGAUCCAGAGGGCGGCCAUUCAUCUCUGCGCUCUGUACUUGAGAGAAGGCGGGCUGCACCAGGAGCAGAUGGGAGAGAAGCUGCUCUUUCUAAGCCCCUAGAGGUCCAACCCUGGUGCUCUCUCUUGCCCCAGGGAGGUGGGGGAGCGCACAGGAGAGGGACCAAGGGCCCACGGUCAGGCUCUGUCCUGCCACCCAGCUGAAGAAUUUGCCUUCAUGGAGCCAAAGCUUAGGUGGGAUAUGUACUACUUCCAAAAGUAAAAUGAGGUUGGGGAGACCACCUCCGGCUUCCCAGGGACUCUACUGAGACAGGAACACAUCUGAGCAGCCACGUGGGGGGUCCCAGCUUAAGGAUCUCCAAAAGUUGGGGUUACCAGAUCUGGCAAAUAAAAACACAGGACACUCAGUUAAAAUGGAAGUUUGAGGAGUUCCCUGGUGGCUUAAUGGGUUAAGGAUCCCAUGUUGCCACUGCUGUGGAGCAGGUUUGCUCUCUGGCCCAAAAACUUCCACAUGCUGUGGGGGCAGCCAAAAAAAAAAAAAAAA
rnacentral:lncRNA from 1 species